GAAAUGCGAUAAGUAGUGUGAAUUGCAGAAUUCAGUGAAUCAUCAAAUCUUUGAACGCACAUUGCACUUCCUGGUAUUCCGGGGAGUAUGCCCGUUUCAGAAUCAUUUAAAUCUCAAAUAAACUUGUUUGUUUGGAUAUGAUUAGUCUGGAGUUUCGGCCUCAGUCUAGUUGAAAAUGAUUGUGCAAGCCGGCCCAAGAGUUCGGUAGCUUCAACUGCAGCAGAUUUAUCUAUUCUUUUGAAGUUCCUUUGUAACUAUUGGACUGUGUUGCUGCCUCAACUUAGUACACAGUGUGUUUGUUCGGAAGAACAAGCCUCUGAUAACUUGGUCUGAAAUCGGGCAAGAAAACCCGCUGAACUUAA
rnacentral:misc_RNA from 1 species